rnacentral:lncRNA from 1 species
UUCAGGAAAACACCUAAUGAGUUAUAUGAUUGAAAUUCCUAGAACCAGAUUUCUCCAGUUUCCCUCAUUUGAGAGUUUUAUGGUCAAAAAUUCAUAACAUCUUUCUUGUGCUAAAUACAUUUGGUAAGACUAAGGGGAUACUAUCAUUUGGUGAAUGAUAAAGAAAUAAAAAUCCCCAUAUGUUGACUUCUAGAAAUUCUAGAAAUUAGCUAACACCUUCUCUUUUCCCUGAAUGCCAUCUAGAUUUUCAUUACCAAGUAUGGUAGAACAGGUGGAUAGUCAUGUGGUUUCAGCUCUGUAACUGUAUGAAAGGCAAGCACUAUUCUAUUACCAUUAUGUUAAAAACAAAGUCCAAGUAGAAUUAAUUUUGUAAUUGCAGGAAAUAUUUGUUUAUAAGUGGCAGACAUGAUACCAGCAGAAUUUAAUAUGGUUUGUUUAAGGUAAAAGAAUAACUGAAAUACCUGGAAAAUUAUGCUUCUACC